rnacentral:rRNA from 1 species
AUACGGAGGGUCCAAGCGUUAUCCGGAUUCAUUGGGUUUAAAGGGUCCGCAGGCGGGAAAAUAAGUCAGUGGUGAAAGCCUACAGCUCAACUGUAGAACUGCCAUUGAUACUGUUUUUCUUGAGUAUAGAUGAAGUGGGCGGAAUAUAUCAUGUAGCGGUGAAAUGCAUAGAUAUGAUAUAGAACACCGAUUGCGAAGGCAGCUCACUAAACUAUUACUGACACUCAGGGACGAAAGCGUGGGGAGCGAACAGGAUUAGAAACCCUAGUAGUCC